CAACAAUUCAACGUGGGAAGUCUCGCUGAGGAAGUACCAGGCCAUAAAUUUCCUCCAACAAGAGCCACCUAUCAAGCUGAGCCUUGUUAAGAAGCUUCCCAGAUAUUAAUCACGAGGGAAGGAGCUGCUGGACCCCUGCGCCGCCAGAAUGGAGCAGGAGGAGGCGGCACAGGGAGCUUUCUCCCUCUUUUACCCCUGAAAUGUCGGAGAUCUUCAGAGCACCUCAGAACGCUCUGAAAUCCAGCCCGGCUCACCCUGGGGCUGCUCAGCCCCUCCCAGAGGACACAGCCUCGGGAAAAUCCUGGGAAAGCCUCGGAAAAGUCCUGGGAAAGCCUCGGAGCGGGGCGGAAUUACCGAGGAUUGCACCCCGGAGUCGGUGGUGGCUGCUGCUGUGUCCCAGGAAGAGGCACACCCCUGUUUGGGGAUGUUUGCGUCCCAAAAUCCCCAAAUUCCAGAGCCCCCCCCGUCCCAGCUGUGCCCUGUCCCCACCUUGUCCCCACCCAGAGCUCCCAGAGCUCACAGAGGAUAAAAACUGAGAAUGAUUUCAUUUUAUCUGUGAAUUGUUUCCUGGUGGUAACUCGGGGAAAUCUGGGAUUGCUGGGAUGGAAACUGACCUCAUGCUGGGCACAAAAAAAAUUCCAUUUUUUCCACCUCCCUGGAGCAGCACCUGCUCCUCCCUCACAGCAGAACUGUCCUGACAGUGGAAUGAAAGGAAAACCAGGAGCAAACCAUCCUGCCCGGCUUUAUCUUGGAGCUGAAUUCUGGCCACUUCAAAACUCUGGUUUUCCUUUAGCAAAAACCCUCUUUGCCCAUUUUUAUGCUUUUCAUCAGCAACCCCAAGCUCCAUCUACCCCUACGAAAAUACACUUUGCAGGCCCAAAAGACGGAAAAAAUGUAAAUAAAUCGACCCCCAGCGUGGAGUUUUCAAUGGGCCGUGUGGAAUUCCCAAAGGAUUUAACUUCUCCUGCUCCCCCAAAAACCUGCUGCCCCAAAAAAACCCUCCUUGAAUCCCUGGAAAUGGCUGCAGGAAUUUGUCCUGGGUGGUGGCAGUGGCACUGCCCUGGCACCAGCAGGGAGCUCCCACUGAGGAUUUUUUGGGGUUGGGCCGGUGGUCUCAGCAGGCAAGGACACAGAUCCCACUAAAAAUAAUCCCAAACUCAGAUUUUCGGAUAUAAGUACCAACACCAUCGUGCUGGAAGAGGAAGACUCUGCAAGGCCAAGUGUUGGUUUCUCAGCAGGAGAAUCCAUUUAAAAGUAAAAAAAA
rnacentral:lncRNA from 1 species